rnacentral:rRNA from 1 species
GAUGAACGCUGGCGGCGUUCCUAAUACAUGCAAGUCGAGCGAACAGACGAGGAGCUUGCUCCUCUGACGUUAGCGGCGGACGGGUGAGUAACACGUGGAUAACCUACCUAUAAGACUGGGAUAACUUCGGGAAACCGGAGCUAAUACCGGAUAAUAUAUUGAACCGCAUGGUUCAAUAGUGAAAGACGGUUUUGCUGUCACUUAUAGAUGGAUCCGCGCCGCAUUAGCUAGUUGGUAAGGUAACGGCUUACCAAGGCAACGAUGCGUAGCUGACCUGAGAGGGUGAUCGGCCACACUGGAACUGAGACACGGUCCAGACUCCUACGGGAGGCAGCAGUAGGGAAUCUUCCGCAAUGGGCGAAAGCUUGACGGAGCAACGCCGCGUGAGUGAUGAAGGUCUUCGGAUCGUAAAACUCUGUUAUUAGGGAAGAACAAAUGUGUAAGUAACUAUGCACGUCUUGACGGUACCUAAUCAGAAAGCCACGGCUAAAUACGUG